ACUCCUACGGAAGGCAGCAGUGAGGAAUAUUGCCCAAUGGGGGGAAACCCCUGAGGCAGCAACGCCGCGUGGAGGAAGAAGGUCUUUACGAUCGUAAACUUCUUUUGUGAGGGAAGAGGAAGGACGGUACCUCAUGAAUAAGUCACGGCUAACUACGUGCCAGCAGCCGCGGUAAU
rnacentral:rRNA from 1 species